rnacentral:rRNA from 1 species
UACGUAGGGUGCGAGCGUUGUCCGGAAUUAUUGGGCGUAAAGAGCUUGUAGGCGGUUUGUCGCGUCUGCUGUGAAAAUCCGGGGCUCAACCCCGGACUUGCAGUGGGUACGGGCAGACUAGAGUGUGGUAGGGGAGACUGGAAUUCCUGGUGUAGCGGUGGAAUGCGCAGAUAUCAGGAGGAACACCGGUGGCGAAGGCGGCAUCCUGGACCAAUAUUGACGCUGAGGAGCGAAAGCCAGGGGAGCAAACGGG